AUCCUACGGGACGCAGCAGUGGGAGAUAUUGCACAAUGGGGGCAACCCUGAUGCAGCGACGCCGCGUGAGCGAUGGAGUACUUCGGUAUGUAAAGCUCUGUCAGCAGGGAAGAGAAUGACGGUACCUGACCAAGAAGCCCCGGCUAAAUACGUGCCAGCAGCCGCGGUAAUACGUAUGGAGCAAGCGUUAUCCGGAUUUACUGGGUGUAAAGGGAGCGUAGGCGGUAAGGCAAGUCUGAUGUGAAAGGCCAGGGCUCAACCCUGGGACUGCAUUGGAUACUGUUUAACUGGAGUGUCGGAGAGGG
rnacentral:rRNA from 1 species